AGAUCCUUUUACUGACAUUAAUGAUGAAGCAGCUUUGUCUGUGUCUCUGCCUUGGUUAGCAAUGCCUUAGUGACAGGGCAGCUCCAGAUGCAUUAGAUCAGCAGCUGAUGCCAUCAUGCGAAUGUCUAACACUUACUUUAGCAGUAGAAGACUUUCUUCAUUUAAAAUCUUACAGGAAAUCCCUGUGUUCAAAAGGAAAAAAAAAAUCAGUAGGGGAUCUGGAGCCCAGCCAGCACUGUCCUCUUUCUCCCAAGAGGGGAAAACUGAUCCAAACCGAGGUCCGAACUGGAUGGACUCCUCGAGAAUCAGAACUUCAAUACCAGUGACGUAAUUGGAACCCAGGUCCCUGGCCCCCCAGUUCUGGGCUCUUUCUACUAUUCGACGCUGCCUCCUGCAAAACGUGUCCUAUUUUGAGGCACCCUUGUUUAUCACAGAUUUGUUGUACUCCCCUUUUUUUGCAGUCUUUGAAAUUUCUUUUCUCGUGUUCUCUCACUUAUUUCCCAAAAGCCAUUUGUUAUGUAACAGAUGAAUAUGUGUUCCUGUUUAUAAAUAUUCUACAGUAAGUCAAG
rnacentral:lncRNA from 1 species